GUUGUAUAGUCAAGUAAUUAAGUGCAUGUGGUGGAUGCCUUGGCAGUCAGAGGCGAUGAAAGACGUGAUAGCCUGCGAAAAGCUCCGGGGAGGCGGCAAAUAUCCUUUGAUCCGGAGAUGUCUGAAUGGGGGAACCCACCUACUUUAAGGUAGGUAUUGCAACAUGAAUACAUAGUGUUGCAAGGCGAACGAGGGGAAGUGAAACAUCUCAGUACCCUUAGGAAAAGAAAUCAAUUGAGAUUCCCUCAGUAGCGGCGAGCGAACGGGGAUCAGCCCAUUAAGUUAUGUGUGUUUUAGUGGAACGCUCUGGGAAGUGCGAACGUAGAGGGUGAUAUUCCCGUACACGAAAGGGCACACAUAAUGAUGACGAGUAGGGCGAGGCACGUGAAACCUUGUCUGAAUAUGGGGGGACCAUCCUCCAAGGCUAAAUACUCCUGACUGACCGAUAGUGAACCAGUACCGUGAGGGAAAGGCGAAAAGAACCCCUGUGAGGGGAGUGAAAUAGAUCCUGAAACCGCAUGCAUACAAGCAGUGGGAGCACCUUCGUGGUGUGACUGCGUACCUUUUGUAUAAUGGGUCAGCGACUUAUAUUCAGUAGCAAGGUUAACCGUAUAGGGGAGCCGUAGAGAAAUCGAGUCUUAAUAGGGCGUUUAGUUGCUGGGUAUAGACCCGAAACCAGGCGAUCUAUCCAUGAGCAGGUUGAAGGUUGGGUAACACUAACUGGAGGACCGAACCCACUGUCGUUGAAAAGCCAGGGGAUGACUUGUGGAUAGGGGUGAAAGGCUAAUCAAGCCUGGUGAUAGCUGGUUCUCCCCGAAAGCUAUUUAGGUAGCGCCUCGGACGAAUACCAUAGGGGGUAGAGCACUGUUUCGGCUAGGGGGUCAUCCCGACUUACCAAACCGAUGCAAACUCCGAAUACCUAUGAGUACUAUCCGGGAGACAGACUGCGGGUGCUAACGUCCGUAGUCAAGAGGAAAACAAUCCAGACCGCCAGCUAAGGCCCCAAAAUCAUAGUUAAGUGGGAAACGAUGUGGGAAGGCAUAGACAGCUAGGAGGUUGGCUUAGAAGCAGCCACCCUUUAAAGAAAGCGUAAUAGCUCACUAGUCGAGUCGGCCUGCGCGGAAGAUGUAACGGGGCUAAAACUAUGUGCCGAAGCUGCGGAUNUGUAUACUUUGUAUACGUGGUAGGGGAGCGUUCUGUAAGCCGAUGAAGGUGUGUUGAGAAGCAUGCUGGAGGUAUCAGAAGUGCGAAUGCUGACGUGAGUAACGACAAAACGGGUGAAAAACCCGUUCGCCGAAAGACCAAGGGUUCCAGUCCAACGUUAAUCGGGGCUGGGUGAGUCGACCCCUAAGGCGAGGCCGAAAGGCGUAGUCGAUGGGAAAAUGGUUAAUAUUCCAUUACUUCUGUGUAAUGCGAUGAGAGGACGGAGAAGGCUAAAUCAGCCUGGCGUUGGUUGUCCAGGUGAAAGGAUGUAGGCAUGUAUCUUAGGCAAAUCCGGGGUACUCUAUGCUGAGAUCUGAUAGCAAGCUGUACUUGUACAGCGAAGUGGUUGAUGCCAUGCUUCCAGGAAAAGUCUCUAAGCUUCAGUUACACAGGAAUCGUACCCGAAACCGACACAGGUGGUCAGGUCGAGUAGACCAAGGCGCUUGAGAGAACUCUGCUGAAGGAACUAGGCAAAAUGGUACCGUAACUUCGGGAGAAGGUACGCUGUUGUUGGUGAUGGAACUCGCUUCCUGAGCUGACGACAGCCGCAGAAACCAGGCCGCUGCAACUGUUUAUUAAAAACAUAGCACUCUGCAAACACGAAAGUGGACGUAUAGGGUGUGAUGCCUGCCCGGUGCUGGAAGGUUAAUUGAUGGGGUUAGCGUAAGCGAAGCUCUUGAUCGAAGCCCCAGUAAACGGCGGCCGUAACUAUAACGGUCCUAAGGUAGCGAAAUUCCUUGUCGGGUAAGUUCCGACCUGCACGAAUGGCAUAAUGAUGGCGGCGCUGUCUCCAGCAGAGGCUCAGUGAAAUCGAAAUCGCUGUGAAGAUGCAGUGUACCCGCGGCUAGACGGAAAGACCCCGUGAACCUUUACUGCAGCUUGACACUGAACUUUGACCUUACUUGUGUAGGAUAGGUGGGAGGCUUUGAAGCUGGAACGCUAGUUCCAGUGGAGCCGUCCUUGAAAUACCACCCUGGUAAUGUUGAGGUUCUAACUCUGUCCCGUGAUCCGGGACGAGGACCGUGUCUGGUGGGUAGUUUGACUGGGGCGGUCUCCUCCUAAAGAGUAACGGAGGAGUACGAAGGUGCGCUCAGCGUGGUCGGAAAUCACGCGUAGAGUAUAAAGGCAAAAGCGCGCUUAACUGCGAGACCCACAAGUCGAGCAGGUACGAAAGUAGGUCUUAGUGAUCCGGUGGUUCUGUAUGGAAGGGCCAUCGCUCAACGGAUAAAAGGUACUCUGGGGAUAACAGGCUGAUACCGCCCAAGAGUUCAUAUCGACGGCGGUGUUUGGCACCUCGAUGUCGGCUCAUCUCAUCCUGGGGCUGAAGCAGGUCCCAAGGGUAUGGCUGUUCGCCAUUUAAAGAGGUACGCGAGCUGGGUUUAGAACGUCGUGAGACAGUUCGGUCCCUAUCUACCGUGGGCGCUGGAAAUUUGAGAGGAUCUGCUCCUAGUACGAGAGGACCAGAGUGGACGAACCUCUGGUGUACCGGUUGUGACGCCAGUCGCAUCGCCGGGUAGCUAUGUUCGGAAGGGAUAACCGCUGAAAGCAUCUAAGCGGGAAGCCUACCUCAAGAUAAGAUUUCCCUAGGACUUUAUGUCCUCUAAAGAGCCGUUCGAGACUAGGACGUUGAUAGGUUGGAUGUGGAAGCAUAGUGAUAUGUGAAGCUGACCAAUACUAAUUGCUCGUGAGGCUUGACUAUACAACACCCAAGCAGUUG
rnacentral:rRNA from 1 species